rnacentral:ribozyme from 1 species
CUUUUUUUGAGUUUUUUCCUUGAAAGUAUAUUACAGGCUUGCCUUUGCCUGAUCUAGUGAAAAGCAAGAGAUGAAUACAAGAGGAAGGCCUCAGAUUGGUUGUGUAAUUGGUGGAAGCAGAUACAAUGAGCUGUUUUUUUUUUUUUUUUUUUUUUUUUUUU